rnacentral:misc_RNA from 1 species
GAUGAAGAACGUAGCGAAAUGCGAUAAGUAAUGUGAAUUGCAGAAUCCAGUGAAUCAUCGAAUCUUUGAACGCACAUUGCGCCCGCCAGCAUUCUGGCGGGCAUGCCUGUUCGAGCGUCAUUUCAACCCUCGACCUCCCUUUGGGGAAGUCGGCGUUGGGGACCGGCAGCACACCGCCGGCCCUGAAAUGGAGUGGCGGCCCGUCCGCGGCGACCUCUGCGUAGUAAUCCAACUCGCACCGAAACCCCGACGCGGCCACGCCGUAAAACACCCAACUUCUGAACGUUGACCUCGAAUCAGGUAGGACUACCCGCUGAACUUAAGCAUAUCAAUAAGCGGAGGA